UAGACAUGCAAGUCGAGCGAACAGAAGGGAGCUUGCUCCCGGAUGUUAGCGGCGGACGGGUGAGUAACACGUGGGUAACCUGCCUGUAAGACUGGGAUAACUCCGGGAAACCGGAGCUAAUACCGGAUAGUUCCUUGAACCGCAUGGUUCAAGGAUGAAAGACGGUUUCGGCUGUCACUUACAGAUGGACCCGCGGCGCAUUAGCUAGUUGGUGGGGUAAUGGCUCACCAAGGCGACGAUGCGUAGCCGACCUGAGAGGGUGAUCGGCCACACUGGGACUGAGACACGGCCCAGACUCCUACGGGAGGCAGCAGUAGGGAAUCUUCCGCAAUGGACGAAAGUCUGACGGAGCAACGCCGCGUGAGUGAUGAAGGUUUUCGGAUCGUAAAGCUCUGUUGUUAGGGAAGAACAAGUGCGAGAGUAACUGCUCGCACCUUGACGGUACCUAACCAGAAAGCCACGGCUAACUACGUGCCAGCAGCCGCGGUAAUACGUAGGUGGCAAGCGUUGUCCGGAAUUAUUGGGCGUAAAGGGCUCGCAGGCGGUUUCUUAAGUCUGAUGUGAAAGCCCCCGGCUCAACCGGGGAGGGUCAUUGGAAACUGGGAAACUUGAGUGCAGAAGAGGAGAGUGGAAUUCCACGUGUAGCGGUGAAAUGCGUAGAGAUGUGGAGGAACACCAGUGGCGAAGGCGACUCUCUGGUCUGUAACUGACGCUGAGGAGCGAAAGCGUGGGGAGCGAACAGGAUUAGAUACCCUGGUAGUCCACGCCGUAAACGAUGAGUGCUAGUGGUUUA
rnacentral:rRNA from 1 species